GCAAACUUGGUCAUUUAGAGGAAGUAAAAGUCGUAACAAGGUCAUCGUAGGUGAACCUGCGGUGGGAUCAUUACUGAUUCGGUGCAGCCGCGCGUUAGCGCGGCUGUGCCGUCGGCAGACGCCCUCGGGUGUCUGUCGGCACACCCAACGUGCGGAAGCUGUAUUUAACGUGGGCGUUGCUUCCUUCGGGGGGGCGGCGCCCGCUCGCUGUAAAGCGCUCGCUGUAAAAGCACUGCUGAGCUUGAUGUCCCUAUGGAGCGAUACAAACACAAAGCAAUAGUUACAACUAUACAUGGUGGAUCACUUGGCUCUCGCAUCGAUGAAGAACGCAGC
rnacentral:misc_RNA from 1 species